rnacentral:rRNA from 1 species
AUUUGACUCAACACGGGAAACCUCACCAGGCCCGGACACCGGAAAGAUUGACAGAUUGAGAGCUCUUUCUUGAUUCGGUGGGUGGUGGUGCAUGGCCGUUCUUAGUUGGUGGAGCGAUCUGUCUGGUUAAUUCCGAUAACGAACGAGACUCUGUCCUGCUAACGUCGGCGCGCGCGGCUCCGUCGGGGCUGCCGUCGCCGCCGGGAGCUAAACUCUUCUUAGAGGGACAGGCGGCGAGCCGCACGAGACUGAGCGAUAACAGGUCUGUGAUGCCCUUAGAUGUUCUGGGCCGCACGCGCGCUACACUGAAGGAAUCAGCGUGUUUUCUGGGCCGACAGGUCCGGGUAACCCGCUGAACCUCCUUCGUGUUAGGGAUCGUGGCUUGCAAUUUUUCCACGUGAACGAGGAAUUCCCAGUAAGCGCGAGUCAUCAGCUCGCGUUGAUUACGUCCCUGCCCUUUGUACACACCGACCGUCGCUACUACCGAUUGAACGACCCAGUGAGGUCUUCGGACUGGGCGCGUUAGCUCCCCGGGGACUGGGUCGUCGCCGGAAAGAUGACCGAACUCGGCCGUUUAGAGGAAGUAAAAGUCGUAACAAGGUUUCGUA